GCUGUAAUUCAGCAAUGGCGAAACUGGAAAUGCAAUGAAAUGGAAGAAAAAUGAAGAAAAUAGAGUUGUCGCGAAUGGCGCAGUUGAAGGUUACUGUUUCUGGGAUGGCGCCAGCACCGUCAAAUUUGAGUGGGGCGUCGCCGGAUUUAAAAGGGGACACUCCUCCACUGCAACCUCAUGCCGUCGCCAUGGCUCCCCUCUUUGUGAAAUAUAUACAUUUUCACUUGGAUAGGACUGAAACAAAGUCAUUCUUUGGAGGAGCUAGAAGGAAAAUCAAUGACCUAAAGCAUUACGAAAUUCUUUGUGAUGAACUCAAGAAGGCCUAUCGAAAAGCUACCAUUAAGAACCAUCCUGAUAAAAGCGGGGAUGGGAAGGCAAGUCCUCUUUCAUUUCAGUUCAUAAGUUAUGCAUUGUGGACUGUAUGCAUUGAGUGCACUUCCCACAAAAAGAGAUGUCGAACUGUUGUAGACUAAUUCUGUUUUAAUCAGAUCAAGGAGUUAGCACAGUCUUAUGAAGUCUUGAUUGAGCCUGAAAAGAGAAGUUUAUGAUGAAUAUAUUUGUAUCCUUUUUUGGUGGUGGAUUUAGUAGCAGUUUUGGUGGUGGCAGAAGAUCCAGAGGCAGAAAGAGACAAGGUGAAGAUGUGGUGCAUCCAUUAAGGGUUUCUCUAGAGGACUUGUGCCAUGGUACGAGUAGAAAACUCUCUUUCUCAGAACGUAUUGUGCUCAAGUGUAAUGGGUGUAUCAUUUUACGGACUAUUAGUUGAAUGCCAUUUGCAGACUGAUGAUACUCUGCAUCUGACCUUUUGUAAUUUACAUUAAACUGCCUUUCCAAUAAAGACAAAGAUGAUGAUGAGACUGUGCAUCAAGUGCCAUGCAACCAGCAGUCAGGUUCAGAGAUGUUUGUUUGUGUUGCUUAAUGUUCUAUUAUCUCACUGUGUGCUCCAAAAGUGACGUCUUAUGCUUCUCCUUCGUUUUUCUUGUCUGUGGUGGCGGUGGUGGCGGCGGCGGCCGUCUCACUUUGUUGCACAACAAUUAGGUAAGUGAGUUGUGCUUGUGUCUGAAAUGAAAGCUUUGCUAGUUGAAAAGGCUAUCUAGGCAUGACUGCUGGUUAUGAUUCCACAUUUUUUAAAGAACAAUCAUGUUUUGUUUGGAAAUCUAAGUUGAGUGUUAGGUGCUGUAGUAUUGAUCUGCAAAUCUUAUGAUCUAAUGCCUUAGUUGAAAUUGUCUUGUCAUGUUCUUGUAGCCAACUCAUCCAUUGUAAACUAUUACUCCCUUCGUACCAUUUGACUUUGCUCGUAUUCCUUUUCGGAUCGUCUCAUUUGACUUUGACUAUUCUCUUUCUGGAUAGUCACUUUAUAGGCCCAAAUAACCGUAGUGAAAAGAAAUAGAUCAAGUCGUUCUGGGACGAAGGGAGUAUAAUUUGUAGACGUAACGUCGUAUAAUUGACAAUGUAUUGCAGAUCAUAGCUCUCUACUCCUUUCAUUUCAUCC